UACCAGCACCCCGAGUGGUCGGGACGAUUAUUGGGCCUAAAGCAUCCGUAGCCGGUUUUACAAGUCCCCCGUUAAAUCCAGCUGCUUAACAGAUGGGCUGCGGAGGAUACUAUAAGACUAGGAGGCAGGAGAGGCAAGUGGUACUCAGUGGGUAGGGGUAAAAUCCGUUGAUCCAUUGAAGACCACCAGUGGCGAAGGCGGCUUGCCAGAAUGCGCUCGACGGUGAGGGAUGAAAGCUGGGGGAGCAAACCGG
rnacentral:rRNA from 1 species